UACAGAGGGGGCAAGCGUUGUUCGGAAUUACUGGGCGUAAAGGGCGCGUAGGCGGCCUUCUAAGUCGAACGUGAAAUCCCCGGGCUCAACCCGGGAACUGCGUCCGAUACUGGAAGGCUUGAAUCUGGGAGAGGGAUGCGGAAUUCCAGGUGUAGCGGUGAAAUGCGUAGAUAUUGGGAAGAACACCUGAGGCGAAGGCGGGUUGCUGGGCUGACACUGACGCUGAGGCGCGAAAGCCAGGGGAGCAAACGGG
rnacentral:rRNA from 1 species